AACAGCAUGUCUCGACUGUAGUGUUUGUCGCAACUGUGAUGAGUCCUCAAAACACACACAAGCACGCACACAAGUAUGCCGUACCUAUUUAUGCAUGCCGGCACACGGACAAAGGCACCCACACACCCACACCCACACCCACCCACUCACCCACCCACUAAUAAUACAAAGCUACUGUAGGGACAGCUUUAUCUUUUAAACCCUCUAAUUCUACACCAUAAACUAUAAGCACACUUUUUGGACUGGCUAACACCACUUUGAUUGGUGGUCCAAACUAUUAAAAACACUCUCACACAAACACUUAAUUCCACACUCUUAAUCCCACACCACUCUUACUCCCACAGUUUUACUCCCAAAAUCUUAAUACCACACUCUAAAUUAUACACUCUUACUCCAACACCACUCUUACUCUUACAAUCUUACUCUUACACUCUUACUCCCACACAUUGUUUACUCCCACACUCUUACUUCCACACUCAUACUCUUACACUCUUACUCCCAGUCUUAAUCCAGCACUCUUACUCCCACACUCCCACACUCUUACUCCCACAGUCUAAAUCCCACACUCUUACUCCCACACUCUUACUCCCACAGUCUUAAUCUGACAGUUUUACUCCCACACUCCCACACGCUAACUCUCACACUCGUACACUCACACUGUUACACCCACACUCUCACACCACUCUUACUCCCACAUCACUCUAACAACAACUAUCUUACUCCCACAAUCUUACUCCCACAACAAUCUUACUCCCACACUCUUACUUCCACACCACACUCUUACUCCCACACUCAUAAUCUCACACUCUUACUCCCAGAGUCUAAAUCCCACACUCUUACUCCCACACCACACUCUUACUCCCACACCACUCUUACUCCCACGCUCUUAAUUCCACAGUCUUACUCCCACACCACUCUUACUCCCACACUCUUACUCACACAAUUGAACUCUUACAAUUUUACUCACACACUCUUACUCCCACACCACUCUUACUCCCACACUCCAACUCCCACAGACUUAAUCCCACAGUUUUACUCCCACACCACUCUUUUUGACAAACCACUCUUACGCCCACACUCUUACUCCCACACUCUUACUCUCUCACUCAUACACCCAUACGGUUAAUCCCACAUUCCCACACCACUCUUACUCCCACACCACUCUAACAACAACAAUCUUACUCCCCAAAUCUUACUCCCACACAAAUCUUACUCCCACACUCUUACUCCCACAGUGUUAAUACCACACCCUUACACCCAAACUCUCACACUCUCACACUCAUACUACCACACCACUCUUACUCCCACACCACUCUUACUCCCACACCACCCUUACUCCCACACCACUCUUACUCCCACACCACUCUUUCUCCCACACCACUCUUACNNNNNNNNNNCACAGCACUCUUACUCCCACACCACUCUUACUCCCACAGCACUCUUACUCUCACAGCACUCUUACUCCCACAGCACUCUUACUCCCACACCACUCUUACUCCCACACCACUCUUACUCCCACACUCGUAAUCCCACACUCUUACUCCCACAGUCUAAAUCCCACACUCUUACCCCCACAAUCUUACUCCCAAAGUCUUACUCCCAAACCACUGUUACUCCCACACCACUCUCACUCCCACACUCGUAAUCCCCCACUCUUACUUCCACAGUCUAAAUCCCACACUCUUACUCCCACACUCUUACUCCCACAGUCUUAAUCUGACAGUUUUACUCCCACACUCCCACACGCUAACUCUCACACUCGUACACUCACACUGUUACACCCACACUCUCACACCACUCUUACUCCCACAUCACUCUAACAACAACUAUCUUACUCCCACAAUCUUACUCCCACAA
rnacentral:lncRNA from 13 species